AGUGAACGCUGGCGGUAGGCCUAACACAUGCAAGUCGAACGGCAGCACAGGAGAGCUUGCUCUCUGGGUGGCGAGUGGCGGACGGGUGAGGAAUACAUCGGAAUCUACUCUGUCGUGGGGGAUAACGUAGGGAAACUUACGCUAAUACCGCAUACGACCUACGGGUGAAAGCAGGGGAUCUUCGGACCUUGCGCGAUUGAAUGAGCCGAUGUAGGAUUAGCUAGUUGGCGGGGUAAAGGCCCACCAAGGCGACGAGCCGUAGCUGGUCGGAGGGGAUGAUCAGCCACACUGGAACUGAGACACGGUCCAGACUCCUACGGGAGGCAGCAGUGGGGAAUAUUGGACAAUGGGCGCAAGCCUGAUCCAGCCAUACCGCGUGGGUGAAGAAGGCCUUCGGGUUGUAAAGCCCUUUUGUUGGGAAAGAAAUCCAGCUGGCUAAUACCCGGUUGGGAUGACGGUACCCAAAGAAUAAGCACCGGCUAACUUCGUGCCAGCCGCCGCAGUAA
rnacentral:rRNA from 1 species